AUUGAACGCUGGCGGAAUGCUUUACACAUGCAAGUCGAGCGGCAGCGCGGCCUUCGGGCUGGCGGCGAGCGGCGAACGGGUGAGUAAUGCAUCGGAACAUGCCCAGUCGUGGGGGAUAACACUUCAAAAGAAGUGCUAAUACCGCAUACGUCCUGAGGGGGAAAGCGGGGGAUCGCAAGACCUCGCGCGAUUGGAGUGGCCGAUGUCAGAUUAGCUAGUUGGUGGGGUAAAGGCCUACCAAGGCGACGAUCUGUAGCUGGUCUGAGAGGAUGAUCAGCCACACUGGGACUGAGACACGGCCCAGACUCCUACGGGAGGCAGCAGUGGGGAAUUUUGGACAAUGGGGGCAACCCUGAUCCAGCCAUUCCGCGUGAGUGAAGAAGGCCUUCGGGUUGUAAAGCUCUUUCGGCAGGAACGAAACGGUGGGCUCUAACAUAGUCCGCUAAUGACGGUACCUGAAGAAGAAGCACCGGCUAACUACGUG
rnacentral:rRNA from 1 species